GAAAGUAUUUUUAAUUAAAUUUUGUUUUAAAAUCAAAUAAUUAAAAUUUAAUUUUUUUAUUUUUU